AUUGGACGAGAAGGCCGGUUGUUGUAAUUAUAUCUAAUGACCUCUAGAUGUCACUGUUUCUCCACUUGAUUACCUCACCGUCUCCCUUUUCUGACUUUGUAGUUUGUAUGCAUGUUGACAUGAUAGCAAACCUGUAAAUGUUUGAAAGCUAUAAAAACGGAAUAAAAUCAAAUGUUAAGGGCUUGUACAAAAACAAAAAUGAUCAAGUCUAUCGAUAAAACGAGGCCACGUGACAGCUGCACUUUAUGUUUUGAAUUUUUGACUGGUUGGCGUCACGUGGGAACAAAACUUUCACUUAGAUGUUUUUCAACAGGUGCAUUUAGCAUAUCUUUAUGAUUUCAUAAAGUAGAUAAUUAUGUUGGGGUCUUGUACAAAAAAAAACCCAGAACAAACAAAUGUUAUACAUUUUUCACAGCUGCAGUUUGUCAAUCAAACGUGACCACGUGACCUGCCUCAAGCCACAACACCGCAGAGCGGAAGAAAUCUGGCGUACGCCUAAAAAUUCUAGUUCCGGUCUAAGAACGUUGGUAUCAACGAGAAAAUGGUCACGCUGUGCAGCUACGAGACUACCAAACUGGUCCGCAUCCACAGCGUCCCGCUGGGCACGCUCAAGUGGAUCCUGAACGCAACGGUGCUGCUUUUCAUAUGCCUGUUGAUGUUGUGGAACAGGAAGUACCAACAAUUUGAUCAGGUGGUCAGCUCUGUGACCGCGAAGGUGAAGGGCGUGUCGCACAUGCAGUUGCCCAGUGAGGGGGCCGUUAUCUGGGACGAGGCGGACUUUAGCGGCUCCUUGCAGGACAAGAACUCUUUCUUUGUGGUCACCAACUUGAUUGUGACCAAGCACCAGAAGCAAGGAAGAUGCGCUGAGUCACCUUCUAGUGGCCGGCGGUGCCAACAUCACAAUGACUGCAAGCAAGGGGCCUGGGACCAGCACAGCCAUGGGAUACAGACGGGCUCGUGCAUCAAGUUCGACGCAUUGGACAGAACGUGUGAGGUAGCGGCUUGGUGCCCUGUCGAAGCCAAAAGCAAGCCGCCAAGGCCUGCUCUGCUAGCGUCUGCUGAGAAGUUCACAGUGCUUAUCAAAAAUAAUAUACGAUUUCCUGCCUUCAACUUCAUCAGGAGGAACAUCUUACCUGAGAUGAACGCAUCCUACCUGCGUGGAUGUCAGCGGGCGAACAACUCUUUGUGUCCAAUUUUCACCCUGGGAGACAUCGUCAACCGGGCCGGGGAAAACUUUUCAACCUUGGCGGUGGAGGGGGGCGUGAUAGGCAUCCAGAUUAAAUGGGACUGCAAUUUGGACCAUCUGACCAGACACUGCCUGCCUGCCUACUCCUUCCGACGUCUGGACCAGAAGGAAAGCAACAAGACCCUCUACCCUGGCUUUAGCUUCAGGUUUGCAAGGUACAAGCCGGUGAAUGGCGUGGAAGAGAGGACUCUUUACAAAGCUUACGGCAUCCGCUUUGACAUCAUGGUUUUUGGACAGGCGGGAAAGUUCAGCAUCAUUCAGCUUAUUCUCUACAUUGGCUCAACCUUGUCCUACUACGCUAUGACGACAGUUUUGAUGGACUGGGUGAUCAGAAGCAGCUGCUGCGUGGCCGAGGCAGGACGGAACUACUCCGAGAGGAAAGUGGAGUCCAUCCCGGACAAAAAGGAGUGCAUCCUGUGCGUGUCGUACGUGGACGAGGACGACAUCCGUUUGGUGAAAAUGUCUCAUAAGAAACGCUUACAGGACGUCAAGACCAUUCGUGUUCAGGCACGACGGGAGGACGUUGGGCACAUGACCGCCACAGUUUGCCUCCUAACUGACCCUCAGUCCUCCCCUCCUCCGUUCCCCAAACACUGCGCCCGUCCUCCAAGUUGGUGUAUGUGCGGCGGUUGCAGCGCCUCGCCCUUCCCACAGGAGGAGCUGUGCUGCCGGCACAGCAGCCAGGGCGCCUGCGUGGCCUCGUCUGGGCUUUUUGACAAGCUCUUACUCCAGCGCACCUUGCUGGAGGCGCUGCUCCUCUAUCGAGAACCCCUCGCUCAGACGCCACCCAGUGCCGCCGCGCUACGCCGCUGCGCUUACCGCCAAUACGUGGCGUGGAGGUUGGGGGUCCCGCCGGCCGACACACACCCUGCCAUUCCACGCUGCUGUGUGAUAAGGAUCAGGGAGGCCUUCCCUAGUCCGGAUGGACAAUACGGCGGAUUCACCUUGGCUAACUAAGUGGAAAUGUGGACCGAGGAGGACUUUGUCCAAUAUACCAGCUCAACAGCACAUUUUUUGUUGACUUUAAAUUGUUUAUUCUCCACAUCCCCUGAUCUUAACAACCAGGAGGGCAAGGAAAAAUUCAAAAUCACAACUGCGGAAAAAGGAAGAUGCCCUCUGUCGUCAUGGCAGUGUCUGCAAGGA